rnacentral:rRNA from 1 species
AGACAGCUAGGAGGUUGGCUUAGAAGCAGCCACCCUUUAAAGAAAGCGUAAUAGCUCACUAGUCGAGUCGGCCUGCGCGGAAGAUGUAACGGGGCUAAGCAAUAUACCGAAGCUGCGGCAGCACGUAAGUGCUGGGUAGGGGAGCGUUGUGUAAGUGGAUGAAGGUGAAUCGAGAGGUUUGCUGGACAUAUCACAAGUGCGAAUGCUGACAUGAGUAACGAUAAUGGGGGUGAAAAACCCCCACGCCGGAAGACCAAGGUUUCCUGUCCCAUGCUAAUCAGGGCAGGGUAAGUCGGCCCCUAAGGCGAGGCAGAAAUGCGUAGUCGAUGGGAAACGGGUUAAUAUUCCCGUACUUUUAUAUACAGUGAUGGGGUGACGGAGAAGGCUAGGCUGGCGUGGCGUUGGUUGUCCACGUGAAAGUGCGUAGAUUGAGUGUUUUGGUAAAUCCGGACACUCUUAAGGUCGAGACACGAGACGAGCGACUACGGUCGUGAAGCAGUUGAUGCCCGGCUUCCAGGAAAAACUUCUAAGCUUCAGAUAAUGUGAGACCGUACCCCAAACCGACACAGGUGGUCAGGUAGAGAAUACUAAGGCGCUUGAGAGAACUCGGGUGAAGGAACUCGGCAAAAUAGUACCGUAACUUCGGGAGAAGGUACACCGCUGACGGUGAUGAGACUUGCUCUCUAAGCUGUUGGAGGUCUAAGAAACCAGAUGGCUGCGACUGUUUAUUAAAAACAUAGCACUCUGCAAACACGAAAGUGGACGUAUAGGGUGUGACGCCUGCCCGGUGCCGGAAGGUUAAUUGAUGGGGUUAGCGUAAGCGAAGCUCUUGAUCGAAGCCCCGGUAAACGGCGGCCGUAACAAUAACGGUCCUAAGGUAGCG